GAUGAAGAACGUAGCGAAAUGCGAUAAGUAAUGUGAAUUGCAGAAUUCAGUGAAUCAUCGAAUCUUUGAACGCACAUUGCGCCCGCCAGUAUUCUGGCGGGCAUGCCUGUCCGAGCGUCAUUUCAACCAUCAAGCCCCGGGCUUGUGUUGGGGCCCUGCGGCUGCCGCAGGCCCCUAAAUCCAGUGGCGGGCUCGUCGUCGUACCGAGUGCAGUAAACAUCCUCACUCAGGGAACCCGACGGGUGCCGGCCGUGAAACCCCCCCUCCUCAAGGUUGACCUCGGAUCAGGUAGGAAUACCCGCUGAACUUAAGCAUAUCAAUAAGCGGAGGA
rnacentral:misc_RNA from 1 species